GCUUCUCUAUAUCAGCGAGUCCAGACCCUAGUACAAAGCAAAGUGAAGGACAAGGGUCUGGUUUUUACCAAGCUAACAAGUGUCUGGGACUCUGGUGUUUGAAAUGAAGUGAAAAACCACUGGUAAUUUGUUACUCCAUCCACCAAAUAAGUGCUGUUUGGUGCUUCGUAGGGCUUGUGGAGGCCCAGUGACAAUCAUGCUGCUGGAGUGUUUUAGGAAAAGUAAAAUGUGGAGUUAUAGGAUGAGAGUUCGCUCCUCUAGGUCUAGGGCCAUGGUUGUCAACCAGAACAGGUAAAAUUCUCUCCUUGAGUUGGGGAUACGUUCUGGUGAAGAAUGUUUCAAACAUCACCUAUAGGCAUCUCCAUUUUCUGCCUCUUAUCUAUAGUCGGUUCAUGAAGGCAACAGGUCUAGAAGAAAAUAAACAGACAUCCCUCUCCCAUACCGUGCCUGGAACACGUCUAAAGGGAGGAGACAUCGUUAUCAGAUGCUCGAACAACCCAUUCUCAUGCCCYCCGCGUCAACAUACUGACGCUUGCUCAGGUAGCCGUCUGCGUCCACUUUUGGACUGAUCCCUCAUAUUAAACAUUUUUUAUAUGUUGAGAAUUCGCGAGAACUAACCAUCCUAGACCCUAAAUUUAACCCAUCUUAGCUAUAUCCAGCCUUUCCCUAACCCCAGUAUCUCAAAUUAACCAUUAAUCCUGAUCCCUCAUGUUAACCUCAGACCCCUGACCCAAAGACCCCUAAGUGACGCAACCAGGAAAAGCCACGGGCGACAAGGGCGGACACGCAGGGGGUACCUGAUGCGUCAAAAAUGGAUGCAGACGGUCCCUGCCCAAGCAUCAAUAUGUUGAUGAGUCCGACAUAAGAAUGUGUUAUUUGAUGCAGGAGGGCAGCUGCUCUAAUCUGAGCUUCCCAGGAUGACAGAUACCCACAGCAUCUCCAAAGCUGAGCCUGGCCACCCUACAAAGGAAGCUCAUUUCGGUUCUAUUUGAGAUCUCAUUCUUUCGGUCAUGAUCCACGCCUCAUGAYCACAGGUGAGGGUUGGAACGUAGACAGAUUUYUAUCUCAUGUCAUGUGUUUUUAGCAGCUCUUUUCCUCAGCCUUGUCACAGCCCUGCACCACUCCCUUCACAGAUCCUCAGGUAAUCAGCUCAUGCAACUCACCUGUGUCCCUCUGUAUUUAAGCCAGCAGUUUCCCUCAGCACUCUGCCAGUUUAUCAUCAGCCAGUCUAUGAUUCACCAGCAUUCUUGUCCCGUGUCCUGUUCUGAUCUCGGCUCCUCGAUCCCAUUCUCGUCCCUUGGAUUUCCGCCUCUUGCCUCAGCCCGUGUCGGAUACCUUCUGCCAUCUGCUCUUCUGGUAAUGACCCUGUUUCUGUUUCUCGGACUCCUGCCCCUUGUCUCUCCCUUGCUCGGCACCACGACACCUCAGACUUCCUGGUUCUCGACCCCUGCCUGCCUCCCGGAUUCAAGAGUUAAGUUUGCUCCUCUUAACCUGUCGCAUUCUCUGAUCCCUCUGUGUAUGACCCUUGUCUGUCCCUGGACCCCGGACCAGUUUCUCGGACCCGCAACGCUCCCAAGGAUUGUCGGUGACGUCAUCGUGUUUCUCUGGAACUAAACUGACACAGUCGGUGUUUCCACACGGAGGCUCCCAGUUGACACCAGAAAACCGGACCCACGCACCUUGUUCCAGCUCCACACCUUUUUUCAUCCUUGUGUUUKUCAGCAGGGCUUCUUCUUUGAUUCAUACAUCACAAAGCACCUUGGCAUGUUAUGAAAAAGACUUCAAAGCUUUGAGAAGAAACACUUCCAUGGUUUCCUGUAAUGUAAAAGGUUUGCCAUGUCAGCUGAGACCAAUGAGACAGCAGGCACGCUCUAUUUAACAUCCUAUUUAUUACAGAYUUAUUCACAUUUUUGUGUUUGUAGCUUUAUAACCAGUGUGGAAUUUUGCUGUUUUGUUGAAUYCAGAGGCCUUAAAAGUGUUUCUAAUUGACGCUGUGAUGACAGAACAGAUCCGUUACACUGGUGUUUUCAGGCUUCUUUCUUUCUUCAAACUUGUCUGAACAACAUAUUAUGGUUUAUAUUAAUUUUUCCUGUUAUUUGUUUAUUUUGUUAUUUAUCUAGUAAAGCUUUCUUCUGAUUUACAGAACCACUAAUAAAACUACCGGUAGGUUUUGAUGGA